UGGGGAAUAUUGCACAAUGGGGGAAACCCUGAUGCAGCGACGCCGCGUGAACGAAGAAGGUAUUCGUAUCGUAAAGUUCUGUCCUAUGGGAAGAUAAUGACAGUACCAUAGAAGAAAGCUCCGGCUAAAUACGUGCCAGCAGCCGCGGUAAUACGUAUGGAGCGAGCGUUGUCCGGAAUUAUUGGGCGUAAAGGGUACGCAGGCGGUUUAAUAAGUCGAAUGUUAAAGAUCGGGGCUCAACCCCGCAAAGCAUUGGAAACUGAUAAACUUGAGUAGUGGAGAGGAAAGUGGAAUUCCUAAUGUAGUGGUGAAAUACGUAGAUAUUAGGAGGAAUACCAGUAGCGAAGGCGACUUUCUGGACACAAACUGACGCUGAGGUACGAAAGCGUGGGGAGCAAACAGG
rnacentral:rRNA from 1 species